CAGAAAGAAAUACACUAGUUAUCACACAUGUUUCACUAAUGAUCAUGCAUCUUGCAGUAAUACAUGGAUACAAAUAUUAAACAGUGUUUGGCUGGAAGGUUCAUUGCCAGUCAACUUCAGCUCAGGGCCUGUUGUUCAGGCCUCAGUGCUUCACAGAAACAAACCAAACGCAGAGAAACCAUGAACAUGCUUCAGCCUCUGAGGAAUUUCCAAAUUCCUUUCAAGGCUUAAUGGACAUUUAAAGAACUGUCAUACAUCCCCAGUAGUUGUAGACAUCCCCUUCUAGAAGUAUUGUUCCCUAAUCAUCCAAAGCCUAAUGACCACUCAUUGGAGACAAGCUUGCAAUCUAUGUACAGGAUACUCACUGAAGUGCAAAUUAAGAAGUUAAUUGAUUUUCAGUCACUGAAAUCUUUCACAAGCACAUACUUACUAGAUGAGCUCUUUGGCAUAUUUACAUUUUAUGGAGACCAUUUCUAUCCAGCAUGAAGGCAUAGCACUACCUUCAAGAUCACAGGAGUGUUUUUAAAAAGUCUUUUUAAAAAUCUUCUGAUUGGUGAAGUUUUCUGCCAACUGUAAGUUAUAAUAUCAAUGCUUCCAUUAAAUUACCUUCCUUGAAAUUCCUCCAAGAAUUUGUACAAAAUCAUUAAUUUGUACAGCAUUUUUGCUCUACAUUUCCACUGCUUUAUGCAGUUUUAAACUCCUGAGAACUUGAAUUGCUUGUGUUUAUCACAAAGACAAACAAUAGUCACAAACAUGACAGUAGUGUCUAGCAACCAAAUGGGUGAAAAAAUAAAAAUCCAUUCCCUGUCAGCAAUGGAAAAUUACUACAGUUCUUUGAAAAACUGCAUGUAACAGUAUUAUGAAUAUGGCUUAGAAAUGCUUUGAGUAAUGAAGACAGGUUGGUAAGUGUGUAUUUUCCUUAACCCUAUUUUCUUGUCCAUUUCUACCUCUUCAGUUGCACUGAUGCUGCCACUUGUGGUGCUUCAGGAUGAACCAACUAGACAAUAAAAUGGCAUCCACAAUUUCACUUCAAAAAAAAAAAAAAAAAAAAAAGAUCACUUCAGCAAUCUUUGUGUCUCUUCAGACAGUUGUGGAGUGCUCACUGGAGGAGCUCCUCACUGGAGGAGCUCCUCACUGGUCUUGGCUCCUAGAAGGGACAACAGUCAAUAAGCUUCAAGUGCUGCUUUUACCAAAGGAGCAAUGAGCCAUACCAACAAUACCACCAGAGUCUCCUAUGUCCUGAUUACCAGUGAUAUAUCAAAAUCUGCCAGGGGAUCUUUUGAAUUUCAGUUUUCUGUGCAGCUCCAGCCUCCUUUCAUCAGUGCACUUUAAAAGUUUUAAAAGACAAAGAUUAGCAUUACCUAAUGCUAAAAAUCAUAAUGGGUAUUUUCACCAUUUUUCCUUGCUUUUCUUUUUCUUUCCUUUUAAGUCACCAGCAGGCUCUAAGGUUCUUCACAAGCUCUCAUAGCUAUGCUUAGCAAAGCAGGAGCUCCUCUAGGAAUCAAGAGAAUUGAACUGCACCUUCUUGGCUUUCUGCUCCUUUUGCUGUGUCUUCAUCCAUGCCUUUUAAUUUAAGGGGUGGGGAGUACUGCUCUGCCUCUGACAACUGUUAAUCUUCAACACAAAGAAGAAAGGCUCAACAUCAAACUAACAGGUUAAUUAUUACAAGACCACAAAUCCUAUGACAGUCUCACAUCCCCAGCCACUGAUAUGUUGUUCAUGGCUGCAGCAAAUGAAACCGAACAAAAAAAGGCAAAUGAAACAGUUGGGAAAGACUGAUUUGUGUAAAUUUUAGAAACACAUAAAAAUAUUCUCCUACUGAAACACUUUAGCCUGCAAAAAACAAUCCAAGUCAGCAAUUUGUUGGCUUCUAAAGAGUCUGUGUUUGAGGGACAGUCUCCUGCAAAUCAGAUAUUUUACUGAUUUACAACUAUUUUUUUGAAGAUUAGUAGGAAGGGGGAAGAGCGAAAAAGCAUCCGUGUUUUAAAUAGAAAUCAGAACCAUAACAAUAUAAAUAAAACUUCUAAAACAUCUAGCAAACCAAUGAACUGGAGAAAGUUUUAGUUUUUAUUUAGAAGAAAACCAAAACACCCCAUAACAGACUUGACAUAAAGCAUGCUGUAAUGUUUUUUGUCUUCUGCCAAGACAUCAGACAAUCUAUAAUUUCCUACGGAAAAAAAUACUGUUUAAGUUUAAACUACAAAGAGAGCUGGAUCCUUGAACUCUGCCUCCCAACUCACUGCAGUAAGCCACACAAACACACUGAACUGAUGGGUCCUGGUAAACAUCUUGGGAACCACAGCAGUAAAUUUUCCAAGACCUUGCACCUUGAGACCCAGGGGAAUUUUUAUGCUGGCACAGGUGUCAAGAGUAAAGGGUUUAAUUUUGUGGACAGUAAUAAAAAAGCAAUCAUUAUCACAAGUCUGUUUUCUCUGCCAGGAAUAUCUGUUUGAAUGUUUUGGGACAUCAGUUGGCUAGUUCAAGGGAACAGGGUGAUAAGAGCCCAGUAGGAGUUUUUGAUGUUUGUAACAAGUUUUACUCCCAUCAUUCUCAGAUGGGAAUAUUUUCUCAGGAGAAAAUAUUUACCAGGAGUCAUGACGAGCUGGAUUUGUUUUAUUCUAUUUUUAAGUCCUCCCAGAAGGCUAGUUAAGAGCAGGGAAAUGCCCAAAGUUACCACGGAGCUCCUAGAAAGAGUUGAGUCAGCCCCUAACAACUUCUAGGAAAACAACUGCCAGCAUUCCUAUGGGCUUCUGAAACACAUCCAGUGCUCCAGCAGAAAAUCUGCUCAUGUUCCACCCGAUGCCUCCGGUUUUCAUUGAUGCCACGGACCAACAAAGCACAUCUUCCAAAGCACAGGAAGAAAGCUGCUACACGUUGAUGGGGUACUUGCACUUUUUUCUCACAUUUCCAUCUGCCUCUGCAGCUGGAAUAAAUGAGUUAAUUCUCUACACGUUGAUGGGGUACUUGCACUUUUUUCUCACAUUUCCAUCUGCCUCUGCAGCUGGAAUAAAUAAGUUAAUUCUAUCAGCUACACUACUCAGACAACCCAAAGCAGAAACAGCGAGCCUAUACCUCUUUAAAUACGUUCUGUUGUGUUUUUUUUUUCUUUAAUAGUAUAAACAGUGUUAUCAGUUAUACCGUAACACACGACUGCAGGUGUCCCUCUUACACAAAGCAGAGCACCGGCUCCUUACCGCACAUCUUGUGAUGCCUGAGAGGCUGCAGCACAAAAAUCACUAACGCUGGACUUUCAUCGCAGAAUUUAAACACAGCACACUCGAAACAGCCAGUCUUCAACCCUGACAGCGAUUACUUUUUCUUGUCAGUUUUGUUUGGGGUGGGGGAGAGAGAGAGGGAGGGAUUUCCUCAUUUGUUAUUGUUUUGCGGGUUUUUAGUAUCUUUCAACCGCAUCUCCCUGCUUUGUCAUACCCUACGGAGAAACACAGCAAAAACAAACCUCUGCGUCCUUAAGGUGAUCGGGGCGGGGGAUGCGUUCCGGAGCCUGCGCAUCGCAUUGUCCUUGUUCAGGCACUCGCAGGACUCUCUCACUAAUUGACGAAACUCUGGAGAACAUCAUGCAGAGCAGUUAUGCUGCUUGGAAACCCCCUACCCUUCCCACCUUGAUUGGAAUAACAAGGAUUCCAAUAUUAAAAUGGAUCCUCUAUGAUAUGCCAACUAUCAGCACCCACCAUCUGUAGAAAGUAUGGACCAAAGCCCAAGCUGGAGGUGAUAACAGGAAUGGUGAUAACUAAAACCACAGCCAAGGAAUACUCAUGCUCCAAAAAGGUGGACCAAGGAGGAGCCAUGCUAAACAAUUCUUGGAAUAUGUAAACUAGUUUGGGGAAAUGUCUAAAUAUACAUAAUUGUUUAUGAAUAUGCAAUAGGCUGACACAAUGGAAAAGGUAUGUAAAGGGUGUCUCUGAAAUAGCAGGUGUGCUCUUGGCUGAAUGCCAAGCACCCAGCUGUUAAACUUUGCUUUAUCAUCUUUGUCUCCUACUGUCCUUUAUUAAACUUUUAAAUUUUA